rnacentral:rRNA from 1 species
ACACAUGCAAGUCGAGGGGCAUCAGGAACAUAGCUUGCUUUCUUUGCUGGCGACCGGCGCACGGGUGAGUAACACGUAUCCAACCUGCCCUUUACUCGGGGAUAGCCUUUCGAAAGAAAGAUUAAUACCCGAUAGCAUAAUGAUUCCGCAUGGUUUCAUUAUUAAAGGAUUCCGGUAAAGGAUGGGGAUGCGUUCCAUUAGGUUGUUGGUGAGGUAACGGCUCACCAAGCCUUCGAUGGAUAGGGGUUCUGAGAGGAAGGUCCCCCACAUUGGAACUGAGACACGGUCCAAACUCCUACGGGAGGCAGCAGUGAGGAAUAUUGGUCAAUGGGCGCUAGCCUGAACCAGCCAAGUAGCGUGAAGGAUGAAGGCUCUAUGGGUCGUAAACUUCUUUUAUAUAAGAAUAAAGUGCAGUAUGUAUACUGUUUUGUAUGUAUUAUAUGAAUAAGGAUCGGCUAACUCCGUGCCAGCAGCCGCGGUAAUACGGAGGAUCCGAGCGUUAUCCGGAUUUAUUGGGUUUAAAGGGAGCGUAGGUGGACUGGUAAGUCAGUUGUGAAAGUUUGCGGCUCAACCGUAAAAUUGCAGUUGAUACUGUCAGUCUUGAGUACAGUAGAGGUGGGCGGAAUUCGUGGUGUAGCGGUGAAAUGCUUAGAUAUCACGAAGAACUCCGAUUGCGAAGGCAGCUCACUGGACUGCAACUGACACUGAUGCUCGAAAGUGUGGGUAUCAAACAGGAUUAGAUACCCUGGUAGUCCACACAGUAAACGAUGAAUACUCGCUGUUUGCGAUAUACAGUAAGCGGCCAAGCGAAAGCAUUAAGUAUUCCACCUGGGGAGUACGCCGGCAACGGUGAAACUCGAAGGAAUUGACGGGGGCCCGCACAAGCGGAGGAACAUGUGGUUUAAUUCGAUGAUACGCGAGGAACCUUACCCGGGCUUAAAUUGCAGUGGAAUGAUGUGGAAACAUGUCAGUGAGCAAUCACCGCUGUGAAGGUGCUGCAUGGUUGUCGUCAGCUCGUGCCGUGAGGUGUCGGCUUAAGUGCCAUAACGAGCGCAACCCUUAUCUUCAGUUACUAACAGGUCAUGCUGAGGACUCUGGAGAGACUGCCGUCGUAAGAUGUGAGGAAGGUGGGGAUGACGUCAAAUCAGCACGGCCCUUACGUCCGGGGCUACACACGUGUUACAAUGGGGGGUACAGAAGGCAGCUAGCGGGUGACCGUAUGCUAAUCCCAAAAUCCUCUCUCAGUUCGGAUCGAAGUCUGCAACCCGACUUCGUGAAGCUGGAUUCGCUAGUAAUCGCGCAUCAGCCACGGCGCGGUGAAUACGUUCCCGGGCCUUGUACACACCGCCCGUCAAGCCAUGGGGGCCGGGGGUACCUGAAGUACGUAACCGCAAGGAUCGUCCUAGGGUAAAACUGGUGACUGGGGCUAAGUCAUAACAA